UACGAAGGGGGCUAGCGUUGUUCGGAAUCACUGGGCGUAAAGGGCGCGUAGGCGGCUUUAUAAGUCGGGGGUGAAAGCCUGUGGCUCAACCACAGAAUUGCCUUCGAUACUGUAUGGCUUGAGACCGGAAGAGGUAAGUGGAACUGCGAGUGUAGAGGUGAAAUUCGUAGAUAUUCGCAAGAACACCAGUGGUGAAGGCGGCUUACUGGUCCGGUUCUGACGCUGAGGUGCGAAAGCGUGGGGAGCAAACAGG
rnacentral:rRNA from 1 species